rnacentral:rRNA from 1 species
UUAAAAAGCUCGUAGUUGAAUUUCUAGUCAACCGUUAGCUGGCUUCACAGUCGUUAACGAUUGCCUAUCCGACAUUGAACUAUAAUGGUUAUUAAGUUAACCUUAUAGCGAACUGUCAUUUUACUUUGAAAGAAUUAGAGUGUUUCAGGCAGGCAAUUGCCCGAAUAUCUUAGCAUGGAAUAAUGGAAUAGGACUUUGGUUCAUUUGAUUGGUUAUUGAAUCAGAGUAAUGAUUAAUAGGAACAGUUGGGGGCAUUAGUAUUUAAUUGUCAGAGGUGAAAUUCUUGGAUUUAUUAAAGACUAACUUAUGCGAAAGCAUUUGCCAAGGAUGUUUUCAUUAAUCAAGAACGAAAGUUAGGGGAUCAAAGACGAUCAGAUACCGUCCUAGUCUUAACUAUAAACUAUACCGACCCAGGAUUGGCGAUGCCAUAAGCUUCGUCAGCACUGUAUGAGAAAUUAAAGUCUUUGGGUUCUGGGGGGAGUAUGGUCGCAAGGCUGAAACUUAAAGGAAUUGACGGAAGGGCACCACCAGGAGUGGAGCCUGCGGCUUAAUUUGACUCAACACGGGGAAACUUACCAAGGCCAAACAGAGGUGGGAUUGACAGAUUGAGAGCUCUUUCUUGAUUCUUUGGGUGGUGGUGCAUGGCCG